rnacentral:lncRNA from 1 species
CUCCUCCUUCUCUCUCCUCUUCAGCUUCCUGACGGCAGUGCUGUGAGCAGCUCCGGUCUGCCUGGCCCUUCCACCAUUUUGCCAGCUAGGUGUGGGCUACAGACUUGAACCAAAACAAGCCUUUCUUCCUUGAAAUUGCGAGUGUCAGAUAUUAUAUCCCAGCAGUGACGAAGGUAACCAAGACGAUGCAGCUCCCACUGUAAGAUACAACACCUAGACAGGCUUCCUUAUCGUCCAACAUCAACUCAUCAAAGACAAGGCUACUCCCUGAGGUGGUUCCUAGUGUUCAAGUUCCCACGAUGGCCACCAAUUGGCAGAGACCCCUGCAUCCAGGUUCCAGUCCCCACCUGCCCAGUGUGCAACGCAGGCCUGAGAAAAGAAUACACUGAGACAGAACUAAGAGAGAGAAAGCGGGGGCCAGGAUGACCAAUGCUGGUGCAACUGACAGAGGCCCUGGCCAGUCCCAGGCACUGACUUUUAUGGCAAUCAAUUGGGGUAAACGUGAUACGUGGUUUCUAUGGAAAUUAAUGUAAACAAGACUCAGAAAGGACAAGGCAAAACAUUUUCAAAUUAGGAACAGAAGAGACAAAAUAUAUGAUUGUAAUUGGAACAUUGUCCUUCUAGUCUGAAGGUUUUAGUUGUGGGAGUGGAAUUUGGGUGUGAGUUACUCUGACCUCAGCACAUAGGCUUCAGCCAGACUCACUUCUAUAAACAAGCCAGUUGUGGGGUUCACUCUUCACAGCCUGCUUUGGGCAAAAUCAGUAUUACAGUCCUCUGCAAGACACACCCAGCAGCCUGGCAAGUGGGACCUGGGGACCAGCUUGCUG